GGCGCAUACAAAGAGAAGCGACCUCGCGAGAGCAAGCGGACCUCAUAAAGUGCGUCGUAGUCCGGAUUGGAGUCUGCAACUCGACUCCAUGAAGUCGGAAUCGCUAGUAAUCGUGGAUCAGAAUGCCACGGUGAAUACGUUCCCGGGCCUUGUACACACCGCCCGUCACACCAUGGGAGUGGGUUGCAAAAGAAGUAGGUAGCUUAACCUUCGGGAGGGCGCUUACCACUUUGUGAUUCAUGACUGGGGUGAAGUCGUAACAAGGUAACCGUAGGGGAACCUGCGGUUGGAUCACCUCCUUACCUUAAAGAAGC
rnacentral:rRNA from 1 species